AAUAAGGGUCGACCACUGUAUAAAUACCUUCCCUAGACCCCUAGGGAGGGGGUUAGAAAUCAAAGAGAGAGUCAUAACACUUGAUCCUAAGGAGGAAGUGUAUUUGAGUGUGUGAGCAUCAGCGUGUAAGGCUCACAUACCAGCAGGUCGUCUUGCCUCGGCCAUAAAACGGGGCGAGGCCGAAUCAACCAUAAUUAGAUUUCCUCAAUCGUCUGCGUCCCUCUGUCUCGUCGUCGUCGAUCAUCCGUUGAAGUCCAAAAUGGUACAUUCGUUUCUUUACUUUUUGAAAUACUUCUAAAUGUACAUCUGAACUUCUGCAACGAAAUCCUUCCCUUUUUUUUGGAUAUUUGUAUUCAUUAUUCUUUUUCAUUUAGGGUUUUUCCGCUUCUAUUUUAAUAUCAGUGAUUUUUUGUUCUAUUUCAUUUUCUUUAAAUGUGCUUUUUACCAGUUCUUUAUGAUAAAUAGUUCGGCCGAUGGUGUUUCCUUUCCCCCACCUUUGUUACCACGGUCAUACUCUUCCCCCAGUUCCAAUGUGGCAUUCCAUUUUAGGAAGUGGUUUGAGUGACGUGAGAGAGUACGUCCUUCCCACUCUGUUAGGACUCCUUCGUAAUGGAUCAAAUGGAUUAUGCAGCAUGGUAGGGACUCUAGCUAUUCGCUUCCCUACGCUCUUGAUUCUGGAAUGUAUCUCUUGGUCGUUUCCUCAGAUGUUCUCGUUCUCCAAUGAAUCUACUAUCUAUUGGUGAUGUACUUCCCGUUACGUUGCGUUGAGGUACGACAUGCUGAAUUUGGUCCUUUUCGACGAUAUGUUUCGAUUGGUUAAUCUUUUAAGAAUUUGUGUUAUGUUGUGGUGUGGAUUAUAGGGCUUUGAAUGCUUUAACCAUCAAGGAUAAUAUCUAAUUCCCACGGUUGAUGAGAUGUUAGAAGAAUUAAAAGGGUCUACUAUUUAUUCAAUGUUGGAUUUGAGAUUUGGGUUUCAUCAGAUCACAGUGAACCCUAAUCAUACUAAUUAAGAGGACUACAUUUAGAACACAUCAAGGGCACUUUGAGUUUUUUGUGAUGUCCUUUGGGCUAACUAAUGCCCCAUCUACCUUCCAAUCAAUUAUAAAUUCUGUUUUCUCUCAGUAUUUGAGGAAGUUUAUGAUAGUAUUUUUUGAUGAUAUAUUGAUAUAUAGUGCCUCUGUGCUAGAACAUAUUAAACAUCUGAAGUGUGUGUUUGAGCUACUCCAGGACUAAUAAACUUAUUGUGAAACUUUUCAAGUGCUCAUUUAGGAAAGAUUAUAUGACAUUUCUAAGGCAUGUUGUUGUAGAAGAUGGAGUCAAUCCUGAAUAAGAUAAGAUUAAAGCCAUGGUGGAAUGGCUAAGACCUAAAAAUUUAAAAAUGCUAAGAGGAUUUUUAGGACUUACCAGUUAUUACAGGAGAUUCAUCAAGGGUUAUGUCUCUAUUGCAACACCCAUGACUGACCUUCUGAGAAAAGACAACUUCAAUUGGGGAGAUGAAGCCUCUAUCUGUUUUGAAAUUUUAAAAUCAACCAUGGUGACUGUUGAGACAGAUACAUAUGUAAGAAUGGGAUAGGAUCGAAUUGUCUUUAGUCAAAAAUCUCAUCCUAUCAGCUUCAAUUCUUCAGGAUUAUGGCAACCUCAAUCUAUGUGAAUAAAAUGUAUGUCAUUACUCAAGUUGUAAGUAAAUGGAGACAUUACUUGUUAUUGGGAUCCCACUUUAUAAUCAAAAUUGAUCAUAAGAGCUUAAAAAAUUUAUUCUAACUCUCAAUAAUUUAUAAUCGUUUCAUUUUUCCUUUGUAAGCUACUGGGAUUUGAAUUAUCUAUUGUCUAUCAACCAAGGAAAGAAAAUAUUAUGGCUGUUGCAUUAUCAAGGAGUUUUGAAAAUGAUAAAAAACAUGUUAUUUUUGCAGGGCGCGAUUUUGGGACGGCCGCCAUUUAAAAAAAAAAAAAAAAAAAAGAUUUUCACAUCUAGAUUUUGGAUGAAAUUAAACACUCUCAUCACCCCCAAUAAGAUGGGCAAACUGAGACUGUGAAUAAGACAUUAAAGAUGUACAUAAGAUCUUAUUGUCACGAGAACCCUAAUAGGUUGUUGAAAUUGUUACCUUGGGUUGAAUUGUGGAACAAUUCAAGCUAUCAUUCUUCUUUAGAAAUGACACCAUUACAAUCACAAAACUACACAAGCCUAAAAUGCUAUUAUAAUUCAUAACUAAAAAAAAAAUGCUUGUUUAAAAUAAAAAUAAAAUUGAAAAACUGAUUAUUAAUAAAUCAAAAUCGGCUUUUCCGUUUUCGGGCUGUGUAUUUUGUAUCAGGAGGCACUGAACAUUCUCUAUUUCUCAUUUGUUGUUUCUUCUUCAGCACCCAUUCUUUCCCCUUCACAUUCUUCGUUAUUUUCAUCUUUUUCCUUGCCCUGUUUCGCUCAGACAUGCAAACCUGAAAUACAAAAUAGAAAUAGAAAGAAAUUUAAAAUAUCAAUUUUCAAUGAAUAUUUUGUUUUAAAGAACAUAAAAGUUUUUUAAAAAAUGGAUGUCAAUGUGGGCUUACUGUAUGAUUUUUUUCAUCCUCACUAUCAUCACCAUCACUGCAGGUUUCUCCAUCUACACCUUUUGCCUUUGGAAGUGAAGAAAUAAAAGAUGUCGAACCACAAGUGAGCACAAGAUAAGCUUUCCUAGCUUUUGAACUGCAACACGUAACAAUACGAAAAAAUAAAGCGUGUAUCUUUUUAAUGGCAAUGGUUAUAAACAUUAAAUAAUGUUUUCGAUCCAGAUACCUGUGAGGCCAAUCGACAACCAUACCGCCAGCAAACCCAGAUCGCAUAGCAUAAGACAUGAU
rnacentral:lncRNA from 1 species